AGGAUAAAACGCUGGCGGCGUGCCUAACACAUGCAAGUCGAACGCCCUACGCAAGUAGGGAGUGGCGGACGGGUGAGGAACACGUGGGUUAUCUGCCUUUCGGUGAGGAAUACCAGCGAGAAAUCGCUGACAAUACCGCAUACGGUUCUUUCGAGAGAGAGAACGAAAGUCGCAAGACGCCGGGAGAUGAGCCUGCGCCCGAUUAGUUAGUUGGUGGGGUAAAAGCCUACCAAGACUGCAAUCGGUAGCUGGUCUGAGAGGACGAUCAGCCACACUGGGAUUGAGAACGGCCCAGACUCCUACGGGGGGCAGCAGUGAGGAAUUUUCGUCAAUGGGGGAAACCCUGAACGAGCAACGCCGCGUGCAGGAAGAAGGUUUUCGGAUCGUAAACUGCUUUUCUGUGGGAAGAGAACGGACGGUACCACAGGAAGAACGCCCCGGCUAACGUACGCGCCAGCAGCCGC
rnacentral:rRNA from 1 species